GAACUACUCCCUCCGUUCGGAAUUACUUGUCGUAGAAAUGGAUGUAUCUAGACGUAUUUUAGUUCUAGAUACAUCCAUUUCCGAGACAAGUAAUUCCGAACGGAGGGAGUAGUAG
rnacentral:pre_miRNA from 1 species